rnacentral:lncRNA from 1 species
CUGGCCAAAGUUUGUACUUUCAGUUAGUCUAAAAUAAAGGAAAGAGCAGGAAGUGCUCCAUUUUAUUGCAAGCACUGUUCCUGUUAAACAGAACCAAAAUACUUUCACAGUUUUCUAGUCAGCUCAGAAUUUUACACUUCUGGUUUCACACUAAGAAUUGGAUUGUGAAAUUGGAGGCAAACAUAUGCUGGAGGCUUAAGGCACAGCGACACGCAGACAGACCACGGUUCUCGGCCCGUUCCCUGAGACAGAUGGGUGUGAGGUAGCUCCAGUUUGGAGUCCAUCCAGUUGCAUUAGCUCAUGCUGUGAUAGAGCUAAUUAGUUCUACUAAAAGCUCGAAUCUGACAGUGUCCAGCUGGGGAGGCAUGACCUGAGAAAGGAGGAGGGAAUUGUGAAUUAUAUCUAUGACAGAGGCCAAUCUGACUGGACCAUCAAUGAGAAAAUUCUGGACUUCCUCUGAAAAAGUAGAAUAUCUUCUCAUUGGUUGGCACAGAGAGUUCCAGGAUCAGUCUGUCACAUCGCUUGCAUGAGAACAUAGAACAAUCAGAACAGCGUGUUUGGAAAAAUCUUCAUCUUCUACUUUUACUUUGCAGCCUUAUUCACAUAUGCCUGGAUAUGUUUAUGAAACAAUUCAGUCACUAGUCUUAUGCAGUAAUAUGUAUACUUUCCUGCAAUGACUACAAGAUUUACCAAAGAGUAAAAUUAUAGAGUUACAGUAACAAUAGAGUUAAUAUUAAGCAAUAAUGAGAUAGGUACAGUAAUAAAGACCUUAAAGCAAGAACGGAAAGAUUCCCAUUUUACUUCAUUACAAAAAUUCUCCAGCAGUUUUCUUAGUAAAGAAAGGAGUUGAAGUAAAAUAAGAAACCUACACGGAGGAUGCAGCUCAAAAUGACAGUCUUGAAAGUGUGGCAUGGAAAGGUGGCAGUUAGCUGUCAUCGGAAAGAGCACCAGUUGUUUUUACAGCAAAAGGAAACUGUGAAAGAAGUCUUUCUGCCUGUUGGAACUCUCAAGACAGCUGCAAUCCACAUCUUAAGGCAUUUUUGUUCCCAUCUGGUUGUAUCAUGUAGUUUUUGUGAUUACCUAAGAAAUUAAUUUCACACAGAUUCCAUAGACUGGUUUUGUAUACGUGGAGUAUCAUUUAAUGGGGAACGUUUUAUUAUUCAUAAAAUAUGUUGAAUAAAUGGACACAGAAAGUUACA